UAGAAUCAGAAAGAUGUGCAGCUUUUUAGCAUUGUUGUAAUCUGAUUGAUGCAGAAAAACGACUAGGUACUGAAAUUUAUUAUUCGCUUUAUUUUGUUUGGAAAAAUUUUAAACUUCUCACUCUACUAUGAAACUCUUCUCUUCUUCUGGCUUACUCACAACAAAGAAAUCGUUGAAAACCUUCCUCAUCAUCCCCCGUGUUACAGCAAAUUCGAGCUUAUAUCUCAAUUCCAACCGAAAUUUCACGUCCUGUAGUGACUUAUAUCUCAAUUUUGUAUUUAUUUUCUUGAAUAAGUUUUGAUUAGGGUCUUCGGUUGAUUAAUGUUGUUUUCUUAGCUAAAGUUUUAUCUUUAUAGCAGAUAUCCAGUGUUUCUUAAAUUCAAUUAUUAAAAUCAUCCAAAUAUUAGUUUAUUAAUUUGAGUUAGGGUUUAUUUGAUGUGAAUGUCAUAGCUGAAUUGAUAGGUGCGAGGAGUUCAAAAAUCAAGAUUUAAUUUUUGUUUUUUUCAGGUUUGGUUUCGUAUGUCUUAGAGAAAUCAGGAAAUAUACUUCGAGGUUUAGCACUUUUUACUAGGAAUGGAGAAAUUAAGAUUUAACUUUCGUACUGCAUGGAUUUUGCGGGUCUCAGUUCCUUUGAUUGAUAAAGCUGUCAUGUGGGAAUGUAUCGCAAAACUUUAGGUUUAUCAUAGGAAUGACGAAGUUGGUGUGUCUGAAUUUAAUGUUUCAGUUCCAUCCUAUGAAAAUUCUUUGUAUUAUUCACCUGAUUCACUACCGUAGUUUAAUGUUGCCGACCUGAUGCUACAGUGAUUAAUUUCACUCUUUAAAAACAACAUCAAAUGUAAUUCAAAGUGCUGCAUCCAAUAAGGAAGCAAAAUAUUGUUUCUAUUGAUGAUCAUUCAUUGUGAUAGAGUUCCCAGGGUUGAUAAGUAAGUGUAUAUGGUUCUAUGUGUAUAUUUACUACCGAUGCAUCCCGUGUUCUGCUAAGGAGGCUCCACUGCAAUUACCAAGCAAUUCAACUAGCCAGGAUUGAGGUUGAUCUUAAGCUUUCUAUGAAUCAAGACAGAGAGCUUGGUUGGAGGGUAUAAAGAAGUCCUUGCUGAAAAUGGAUCUUGAAAUGAGUUAGGUUUUCAAAGGUGCUUUUGAAGAACUGAACUGAACUUGAACUUUAACUUUAGAUUAGAUGGAGUUGUUUCGUUAAAUCAGUUAAGGUUGGACUUGCAUUGAAGCGCACAUUUUGCUUUAAUGAUAGGAGGUAUGUUUUACGAUUUGUGCUUUAUUCUUAUUUUUUAUUACGUUGAUCUUUUAUAUGCAUUCCAAAUGAGCUACAACACUAUCAGAAUGUAUAACUACAGAGGGAGAAAAUGGCGCCCCUGGCUGAACUUGGUUAGCAUUUGUACAUCUAAGGUUCACUGCAUUGUAAAGCAUAUCCUGUUAGAUGUAUUAAUGCUAACCCAAUUCGAUCUAGGAAAACUAAUACUAUUAUUCUUCAAGUAGAGGUAAGAAUAGUCAUGCCUUUUUGUAUGUGGUAGCCAUGGAUGGAGGAUCCUGAUUCCUGAAGAUGAUGACAUAAGAUGAAUUUGGACAUUAGUCUUAUAAAAGGUGACUUUUAAUGAGGUCUGAUACUAUUGAGGAUUUGGCCUGGACAAUUGAGUGGACAUAAUGAAGUCAUUGAGAAUAUCAGUAAACAAACCGAAAGGUAGAAUAGAUUUUCCUAUUCAUAUAAGCACACGACAGAAGUUAAGGGAUUAAAGGCAUUCGGUGGUCAUGAAAGGCAGACUAACACAGUCCAAUAGUUAUGUGCCUGCUUUUACUCAUGGGAAAGUAAGUAAUCACUUUUUUUUCUUAAUAAAAUAACGAUUUUGAUUGUUUAGAUAAUAGUUACCUUUAGCAGCUCAAUGCAGUUCUUGCGUAAGGAGAAGAUCGAAUAAAAAGAGAUGCAUCAGGGGUUACUUGAAGUUAUCGACAGGGUUACUUGAAGUUAACUUGGAAUUGUAAUCUCCGUUCGCCUAUGAUGGAUUCAUGGGUGAAAUUUGCAGGAGCAUUCCAUAUGCUAUAGCAUUAAGGAGCAUGUGCAGCAAUGCUGAACCCCUUCGUUGGCAGAGCCGUUGGUCCGGACUUCUCCAUUGAAUUAUCAGUGAGCUGAGUCUAGAGGCUAAAGUCGGGUUAGAAGGGGCACUUUUCCCCAUCAGCUACUGAUACUGGCAACAAUAUCUCUGAGGUGAGUUUUUCCUCUUUCUCUUCAUGUUAAUUGUGAACUUACAUGAUAAACCUUCCAUUGAACUUACAUAAUAAACCUUUCAUUGACAGUAUAUGUGUCUUUAUGUGAUUCUUUUGUAGCAUCAAUUGUAUAAGAAAUACAGAUGAAUUGCUGCCGUUCUUUAGCAGCGUCAAAAAAUAUGGGAAGUACCGAAAAAAUACGUAGAUGAUUUGAUUAACGUCACCAAUAAUGGAGAUUGUCCUAAUCUUUCUUAACCAGAAGUAAUAAUUUUUGGACAUACGAUUGAAGAGUAUGAAAGUGCUCAAGGAUGGUUACUACAUUAUUGGGCUUUCACAAGUAAAUAAAGUUAAUGAGGUAGUUGGAGUAGUUAGGAGCUUAAUGUCUGAAAAAUUGAUCGCCAAAGAAAUCAUGCAAGUGAAAGUGAAGUAGCAAGUAGGAUUGUUCAUGUUCAGCCUGACGUUUCAGCAUUACCCAAAUUGGAUAUAUGCUAUUCUCAAACUUUCAAUUGUUUGACAAUUCAAUUAAAUUAUUUUCUGCUUCAUUUUAUACAUUCAAUUUUUCUGUAGUAUGAUAUGCUCAUACAUCGAGACAAAAUUAAGUUAUUCGGUUUGUUUCAGGGGAACUUGAUAGGAUGAGGUAUUCUUGAAUUUUGUAAUGGAGGUCUGCCGGUGAGAUUUGUAUAUUACUUCACAGAAUCAGCAACGGAACUUGAUUCACAGCAUCAAUGAUGGAGACUGUCUAAGCUAUUCCAGGAUACUCUUCUUUCCUUUUAAUCUAAUUAAGCUCCUGCCUAUUACAGAUGAGUUAUAUUAAUAGUACUUCAUACAACUCUAUGCCACUUUUGAGGAUGAUACAAUCUAUGCAUACUUUUUUCACUGCGGUACUGUAGGCAUGAAUUUCGUUAAGGAUUUUUACACAGAUUUAAUCUAUGGCAUCAGAAGGACGACGGGCUUUGUGGUUUGUCUAUGUAAUAAAUUGAAGAUACUGAUUUUCUUAUCCCACCAGGUUAAGGUUUAAGAGCAGCAUUUUUCCCAUAAUUUCUUUUACAGUGUUUUUUUUUCUUUUCUUUUACAAUAUUAAUAGGUCCAUUCAUGACAAGCUAAAACGUGGAUGAGUCCAGGGGAAGUUAUGACAACCUAAAAUGCAUAUUCAAGCAGAUGUGAAAGUGCAAGGCAUUUUUCAUCGCUCAUGUCCCUUGCAGCCUUCCAGAUCACAAACGUUCCGGUGGCAGCUAAAAUAAAGUGAUAAAGUGAGAGAGAAUCAAAAGUCUGUGUUGGAGGUAAACUUUGUACAAGAGGAUAAGUGGGAAGAAAGUAAAAGUGACAGAGGAAGUUGUGCUGGUAAUAACUGGACCAGCAGGAGCUCCAUCAGAUUUGAAUGAUUCUAAAGUGGCAGUACUGAGGAGAUAGAGCACAAGGGGGCACAGUAAUUAUAAAAUUCAAGUUCGAUUUUAUAUUAGAGAAAUUUUUUUGUUAAUUUUUAGAUUUGAUAAAUGAGUUAAAGGCUAAAGCUUCUUAUGCUAUUUGAAUUUAUUGUGUAGUUGAGCAUAUAGAGAUUUAGAAAUUCAAUCAUAGAUGUGGGCGAGGAAUGUGAUUGGGAUUUGGUGGAGCACGAAUAUUUAUCAUGGAUUGGAUUGUAUUAUAGCUAAUAUAUUGGCGAAUUGGCGAGUCUUGAGAAAGACAAAUGAUUUAUUUCUUAGUCCAUAUUUCAU